rnacentral:rRNA from 1 species
UACGAAGGGUGCAAGCGUUACUCGGAAUUACUGGGCGUAAAGCGUGCGUAGGUGGUUCGUUAAGUCUGUCGUGAAAGCCCCGGGCUCAACCUGGGAAUGGCGAUGGAUACUGGCGGGCUAGAGUGCGGUAGAGGAGAGUGGAAUUCCCGGUGUAGCAGUGAAAUGCGUAGAGAUCAGGAGGAAUACCGAUGGCGAAGGCAGGUCCCUGGGCUGACACUGACGCUCAUGCACGAAAGCGUGGGGAGCAAACAGG